UCCCCGUUCUCCUGGGCUUUCACCCUUCUACUACCUGCAUGUCCAGCCUGGGUAAGGUUCUUCGCGUUGCGUCGAAUUAAACCACAUAAUCCACCGCUUGUGCGGGUCCCCGUCAAUUCCUUUGAGUUUUAAUCUUGCGACCGUACUCCCCAGGCGGGAUGCUUAAAGCGUUAGCUGCGCCCCUGACGAGCAAGCUCGCCAACGGCUAGCAUCCAUCGUUUACAGCGUGGACUAC
rnacentral:misc_RNA from 1 species